ensembl:snRNA U2 U2 spliceosomal RNA
AUCGCUUCUCGGCCUUUUAGCUAAGAUCAAGUGGAGUAUCUGUUCUUAUCAGUUUAAAUAUGGUAACAAACUACAGUAGUCUUA